rnacentral:rRNA from 1 species
AUGGCGUCCCCGCCGCCGCCGCUGCUGCUAACGCUGGUGUGGGCGGCGGCGCUCCUGUGGUGCGGCGGAUGCGACGCGCGGUUCGUUGUGGAGAAGAACAGCCUCAGGGUGACGGCGCCGGAGGCGCUCAAGGGCGCCUACGAGUGCGCCAUCGGCAACUUCGGCGUGCCGCAGUACGGCGGCACCAUGGUCGGCGUCGUGGCCUACCCCAAGGCCAACCGGAAGGCCUGCAAGGGGUUCGAUGACUUCGAUGUUUCCUUCAAGGCCAGGCCCGGGGCGCUGCCCACCUUCCUGCUCGUCGACAGGGGAGAUUGCUACUUCACAAAGAAGGCAUGGAAUGCGCAAAAUGCAGGUGCAGCGGCGAUCCUUGUUGCCGAUGACAGGGAUGAACCUUUAAUCACGAUGGACACGCCUGAAGAGAGUGGAAGGGUGGAAUAUUUAGAGAACAUCACCAUCCCCUCGGCGCUAAUAUCCAAAAGCUUCGGGGAUAGGCUCAAGAAAACUAUCGAUAAUGGAGAAAUGGUUAAUGUAAACUUGGAUUGGAGGGAGUCUCUGCCCCACCCCGAUGAGCGUGUUGAGUACGAAUUCUGGACUAACAGUAACGACGAAUGUGGUCCAAAAUGUGAUAGCCAGAUUGAUUUCGUCAAGAGCUUUAAAGGAGCAGCCCAGAUACUUGAGAAGAAGGGAUACACACAGUUCACUCCGCAUUACAUUACAUGGUAUUGCCCAGAGGCCUACACUUUAAGUAAGCAGUGCAAAUCGCAGUGUAUCAACCAUGGGAGGUAUUGUGCACCUGAUCCGGAACAGGAUUUCAGCAAAGGGUAUGAUGGGAAAGAUGUAGUAGUACAAAAUUUACGCCAAGUCUGUGUUUAUAAAGUUGCUAAGGAGAGCAAGAAACCCUGGUUGUGGUGGGAUUAUGUGACUGAUUUUGCAGUUCGAUGCCCAAUGAAAGAAAUGAAGUACACCAAGGAAUGUGCUGAUGCAGUUAUCACAUCACUUGGCCUUGAUCACAAAGCAAUAGAUAAAUGUAUUGGUGAUCCAGAUGCUGAUGAAGAAAAUCCUGUUUUGAAAGCUGAACAGGACGCACAGAUUGGCAAGGGCUCUCGUGGUGAUGUCACCAUCUUACCAACUCUUGUAAUUAACAAUAGACAGUACAGAGGGAAACUUGACAAAGGAGCAGUUCUUAAAGCACUUUGUGCUGGAUUUCGUGAAACCACUGAGCCAGCUGUUUGCUUGAGUGAAGAUAUUCAAACAAAUGAGUGCUUGGAGAACAAUGGUGGCUGUUGGCAAGACAAGGCUGCUAACAUCACUGCUUGCAAGGACACUUUCCGUGGAAAAGUGUGUGAAUGUCCAGUUGUGAAAGGUGUGAAAUUCGUUGGUGAUGGCUAUACUCAUUGUGAAGCUUCCGGAGCUGGGCGGUGUGAGAUUAACAAUGGAGGCUGUUGGAAAGAAACCAUGAAUGGCCGGACAUACUCUGCUUGUACUGCUGAUGGCUGUAAGUGCCCAGAUGGGUUCAAAGGCGAUGGGAUCCACAAAUGUGAAGAUAUUGAUGAAUGCAAGGAAAGGACUGCAUGCCAGUGCAAGGAAUGCAACUGCAAGAACACAUGGGGAAGCUAUGAGUGCGGCUGCAGUGGAGGUUUGCUGUACAUGAAGGAGCAUGACACAUGCAUAAGCAAGAGUGCAGCAGCACAGGUAGGCUGGAACUUCCUGUGGGUCGUCUUCUUCGGCCUAGCGGCAGUAGGAAUUGCAGCAUAUGCAGUGUAUAAGUAUCGGAUCCGGAGGUACAUGGAUUCAGAGAUCCGCGCCAUCAUGGCGCAGUACAUGCCCCUGGAGAACCAGGGAGAGAUUCCCAGUAAUUCUCACCAUAUUGAGAUGUGA